rnacentral:rRNA from 10 species
CAAAGGAAUUGACGGGGACCCGCACAAGCGGUGGAUGAUGUGGUUUAAUUCGAUGCAACGCGAAAAACCUUACCCACCUUUGACAUGGCAGGAAUUCCGAAGAGAUUUGGAAGUGCUCGAAAGAGAACCUGCACACAGGUGCUGCAUGGCUGUCGUCAGCUCGUGUCGUGAGAUGUUGGGUUAAGUCCCGCAACGAGCGCAACCCUUGCCAUUAGUUGCUACGAAAGGGCACUCUAAUGGGACUGCCGGUGACAAACCGGAGGAAGGUGGGGAUGACGUCAAGUCCUCAUGGCCCUUAUAGGUGGGGCUACACACGUCAUACAAUGGCCGGUACAAAGGGUAGCCAACCCGCGAGGGGGAGCCAAUCCCAUAAAGCCGGUCGUAGUCCGGAUCGCAGUCUGCAACUCGACUGCGUGAAGUCGGAAUCGCUAGUAAUCGUGGAUCAGCAUGUCACGGUGAAUACGUUCCCGGGUC